ensembl:lncRNA
AGAACCUGACCGGUGACGUCUGGGUCCAGUCGCUCAUGCCGAAGCCCCCCACGAGCGGGACCGGUGGGGAUCUGUUCCUCUGAAGGUCCUGUUCCUUCAGACACGCUCUGAAGGUGUCCUGAGCACAGACCACCACCCUCUUUUGGAUUUCCGAGGGAACCCGGGCACUAUAAUGCACCUGAGAGGUUGAAAGCCCUGUCUUCACCAAUACGACGAGUCUGGACACAGCAGUGCAAGCCCAUCAUUGGGAAACGUGCCAAAGAAUAUCCAGAAGAGAUCCCUAAAGGAGAACAUUUCUGGAGAGGCUAGACCCUUCAGUCAGUGUGGAAUAGAGAUGGUUGAAGCAGACUUCCUAUCCUUGGUCUGGAUCUCAAGAGGCAAGCAUUCACUCAAACACUACUAGAUGUCAUGUGACGAGAGCUGGAUGUUUCUCAUGGAUGUUCUUCAGUACAAUGACGACAAUCCCUUCUAUCCCGAGUUGGUUGACCAUGUUUAUUUACUUUUUUAUCACGAACGGGUCUUGAAUCAAAUGCUUUUUCUUU